AUUGAACGCUGGCGGCAGGCCUAACACAUGCAAGUCGAACGAGUGGCGGACGGGUGAGUAAUUUCUGGGAAACUGCCUGAUGGAGGGGGAUAACUACUGGAAACGGUAGCUAAUACCGCAUACCAUCGGAUGUGCCCAGAUGGGAUUAGCUAGUAGGUGGGGUAACGGCUCACCUAGGCGACGAUCCCUAGCUGGUCUGAGAGGAUGACCAGCCACACUGGAACUGAGACACGGUCCAGACUCCUACGGGAGGCAGCAGUGGGGAAUAUUGCACAAUGGGCGCAAGCCUGAGCCAGCCAUGCCGCGUGUAUGAAGAAGGCCUUCGGGUUGUAAAGUACUUUCGGCGGGGAGGCGUUACUCGAAGAGUAAGCACCGGCUAACUCCGUGCCAGCAGCCGCGGUAAUUC
rnacentral:rRNA from 1 species